UUAACCCUCUUUCCCUAAUAAUCCAGGGAGGGGUCGGAAGACCGACGCAUCUCUUUCUCUCCCCCCGACCCCCCAACCCUAAAUCCAAAGUGCUGUUCGCAGGAGGAGGAACAGGAGUCGGAAAGAAGCAACCAGAUAUUGCUGGUGCCAGGUGCAGCUUUUUAAGGGGCCCAGUUCUGAGAGAGCAGAAACACAAGAGGAGUUUACUGUACUUUGAAUCCUCAGAACCUAAGAUUAUUUUUAUCAACCUUCAUUAGAGAGAGGAGGAAUAUAAAAUCUGUCCCCCCACAUUUCUUUACUCUUCAGAGCAGUAGUUAGGCAUCACUCAUUGGGGUACCAGGAUAAUACAGUUCACAUGACAGUUUCUUUCUUAUGGAGGCUCUGUGACCAAACCAAGCUUGAAGAGCUAAAAGGCACUGAGAGGACUUGAUUACCUCCCUGGGGUGGGGUGGGGAGAAAGAGAGAAGGUCCCAAGAAGAGCCUCUUUGCACUGAAGGAAGAUUGAAGCAACAGUCUCUGGAUAUUGCUGCUCUUCCCACCCCCAAGCGUUGGACAUUCCUUUCAAAGGAGACCUGACGUCUGUGGGACUAGUUCAAGAUGUGUAGUUCGGUUGCUCCCAGGCUCUGGUUUUUAACGGAUCGUCGAAUUAGGGAAGACUACCCUCAACAACAAAUCCUGAGAGCACUCAAGGCCAAAUGUUGUGAAGAGGACCUGGACUUCCGAGCUUUGGUGAUGGAUGAAGUGGUCCUGACCAUUGAGCAAGGAAACCUUGGUCUUCGAGUCAACGGGGAACUCAUCACUGCUUACCCACAGGUAGUGGUGGUGCGUGUGCCAACACCAUGGGUCCAAAGUGACAGUGACAUUACAGUUCUUCGCCAUCUGGAGAAGAUGGGCUGCCGGCUCAUGAAUCGCCCCCAAGCCAUACUUAAUUGUGUCAAUAAGUUCUGGACUUUCCAGGAGCUAGCUGGCCAUGGUGUGCCUCUUCCAGACACCUUUUCCUAUGGUGGUCAUGAAAAUUUUGCCAAAAUGAUUGAUGAAGCAGAAGUGUUGGAAUUCCCCAUGGUUGUGAAGAACACACGUGGUCAUAGAGGUAAAGCUGUGUUUCUGGCAAGAGACAAGCACCAUUUGGCAGACUUGAGCCAUCUAAUUCGUCAUGAGGCCCCUUAUCUAUUCCAAAAAUAUGUCCAAGAAUCCCAUGGCAAAGAUGUUCGUGUCAUCGUAGUGGGAGGUCGUGUGGUGGGCACUAUGCUGCGUUGCUCAACAGACGGUAGAAUGCAGAGCAAUUGCUCGCUUGGUGGCAUAGGAAUGAUGUGCUCGCUGAGUGAACAAGGCAAGCAGCUGGCAAUCCAGGUGUCCAACAUCUUGGGGAUGGAUGUAUGUGGCAUCGACCUCCUCAUGAAGGAUGAUGGCUCGUUCUACGUCUGCGAGGCCAAUGCAAAUGAGCCAAAAAAGUCAAACAAUCCAGAGAAAAACUUCCCUUCUCCCCUUUCUGAUGGCAAGAGAAAGAGCUUGUGAAAAAUCCUUGAGAAUGUUCCUCCCUAAACUUUUCCCCCCUGUGGUAAAACAGUAAACGCAGCAGUUUGGUGGCAUCCAGUACCGACCUGUUGGCAGGUAACUUUCAGCUCUUUUGAUCAUCCCAUGUUUGCUAACAUUGCUUUCCUUUCUUCUAACACCCUAGUUUUAAUAUUAUUACUGUCCAGAAAGAAUGAGGCUUAGGAAGCAUGUUGAGUUCUUCUUGUUUUUGUUUUUUGCUUUUUUUUUGCUAGAGCCAUGUUCUAAUAAACCUUUUCAGGAUCCAUGUGUUCAAGUAGGAUCAUGGCAAGGAUGAGUUUAAACAACAUGCACUGCUUCAGAAAGGAGUGGUGGGAUGGUGUGUAAUUCCAUAAAUUCUGCCAUCUCCACCCUCCCAUGUUCCUGUCUUGCUCUUCUCACUCCCUUCCCCCUCCCCCCCCCCAUAUACACUCUUGGCUUAAGUUUUUACAGGGCUUUGGUGCUUUCCAGGGGCACAAUCAGCACAAAACUAAUCGGCAUCAAUUAAUAACAGGUAUGAAAAACUAGCUGUACAAAGUUAUAUAUAAAAUUAAUUUCUUAUAGCAGAGCUGGGGGGGGAGGAGGCUGGUUAUUAUCCUUUGUUAAGGCCAUUUGAGGGUGACGUUUUCAGACAUUUUUAGUAUGUCCUGUUGAGGAUGGUACUCAUGUCAGUAAUACUUGGUGAUUCAAAUGAUCUCUUGAUAACUUUGAAAACUAUUUAUUAACAGCCCAAAACUUGUAUAGUGCUGCAACUGCAACGAUAUAGCCUAUAUUGAAGGUACUUUCUAAUGAGGAAGAAUAUAAUGCUUCAGAUAAACACUCUUAAAAUCAUUUUUUUAGUGUACAAGUUGGAAAUAAGUCAUUUUUCAGUGUUGCUGUCUUUUAACAUUUUGUGUGCACACCGCCUAAAGCAAAACUUUUUUUUGCCAGUUUAACCCCAUAACAUGUUUUGAAAUUUGUAGCUUGGUACAUCUUUUAAGCAGCGCUAGUGCAGGAUUUGACUUUUUAUGUUUUAAGAUUUCACAGUUGUUAUUGCAUAUUGUUUUUACUGCUUCUCCUUUUCACUUGGCAUGGAAGGUUUACUUCUGAAUAUAUUUUUGUCCUUUGAUUGCUGAAAGAAAUGGUUGUACCUUUUAGAGCUAGCUGAAGAGGGCAGAAUAAUUUUGCAAACAUUUUGACAAAUGCACCCUCUUGUAAUUUUUGUUUUCUAUGAAAAAUGGGACAAUGAUAUAUAUAUAUAUAUAUGCAUGCUUUUGCAGUGUGUUCCCUCCUCCUGUAAAUUUGCAAACACCUGGCUAAUUUAAAGGAGGUGGUUGAAAGCCUGGUGAGCAAUUAAAGCUCUCGUGAAGGAAAAGUUCAUGCUGCAGAUUUCUUCCUUUAAAUUGGCUGCGCCCUUGUGAAUUGACAUCUUAAAGGAGGUAAUCAGUUGCAGUCCCUUUGCUGAAAAUGAAAGUAUUCUCAAUGGAUUAGGAACACCUCAGGAAGCAUUGUCCCUGCUCCUGGGAGGAGAGAGAUCCAAGGGGGCAGGGGAAAGGUUGAGAGUGGUGUUGAAGCAGUCGGAGUCUAUGGGAAGAGUGUUUGUGAACAGUGCCCAACAAAGGUUAAAACAAGGUGCUACUUUUUCCCCCUUUGGGAGCCCAGGAAGGUGUUAACGUCUUCAGUAAAAGUUGUUUGGCUUUGUGAUGUUCUAUGUGGCUCAGGUCGUGUGUUUCAGAUCUGUAGCUACUAAUAUGCUAUAAGAAAGAAUUAAAUAGCCUUCUGGGUUCUACAGUACCUGGAAAUUAGUUGAGCUCAACCCAACCAGCAAAGCUGCUGCACAACCCUUCCUAUUGAAAUGUAUGGAAGUCACGUGGUAGCAGCGCCAGGUGGUAUUUGCCUAUCCUAUUUUAAUCUGUCCUUUAUCCAGAUAGUUCCAUCUGUAGGGAGGCCUUCCAGAGCCUGUUACUGAGUAUCGUCUGUCCAGAACUCUUUUUGAAGGGUGUGGGUGGAUAUGGGGGAAAGCUUGAAAAAAGCUUUGGUGCCUUAAAAGGAUCCCCAUUGUAUGAUUUUUCUGCAAGCUGAACAAGAACUUCUUCUAUAUACCCUUGUGCUGCAACAGAGUAAUAAAACUGGUAGGUGGCAGCAGAAGAAGGAACUUAUUCAGAUGGCACCCGUGAACUGAGAAUGCUGCCAUGUGUGGAGAGAUGGAUUCCAAAACAUUAGCUGGUGUAACGUGCAAAGAUGAGAGGCAGCUUCCCUGACUUGUCAAUCUGCAUGCCGCAUCAGUCCUUGGGCACCGCGUGAAGCUAUUCUUCCAUCCAAAUAGAAACUUUGAACAAAAGGUGACGUGACCAUCUAUGAGUCAAACUAGAUGUGACAAGACAACUGUGUACGUGUGUGUUGUUCAUAUGCAGAACAAGGGGGUUAGGCUGGAUCUAAUUUUGCAUGAAAAGCAGUGUCAGUAAAGAGAAUGAAACCCCUCUUGCCUUAGCUUGCUACAUUCCAGUAUUUCUAAAAAUUUGCCGCUUCUCCUGCCCAGUCAAGCCCUAUUAGCAAAGGAAGCUGAACUCUAGAGAAACUCUUGCUGCAGUGGAAUGCAAUAAGAGAAGGGAGGGGCUUAGUUUCCCCCAAGUGCAUUUUAAAAGAACACGUUCAAAUUGCUUACUUUGUGCAACCUGCAGAGUUUAUUCCACUUGUGUCCUAACAGUCUUGAGUUCUUGGGCUACUGGAUUUUUAGUUUUGACUAAAGCAGACUUUCAAUCAUAUGGUUAGUCUGCAGGUACUGGCAAAUACUGCAAAUUCAUUUGAUAAAGGAGCAAAGAGAAUUGCUACUAAAGUGUUUUCCCCCUUCCUUUCACAUGAAGAUUUCACACAGACUCACCUGUCCCUCAGAAAAGUGGGUAGCAGGAGCCCCACCAGCCUCUGACCCAGUGUUUGGAGGAAUAAGCAAGAUUGCAGUUUGCUCUAGAAGGCCUUGGAGGCAAAACUGCUUCUCCACGAAUUCCAGAACUGUUUUUGUUCCAAAUGACAUUUCCAGAGGCAAGCUUUGUAACUGCAGGAGAAUAGAGUACUGUUGAGCUUGUGAAACUACUUAUGCACUCCCCCCCCCUUUCUAUGCAAUAUUUUCACAGGACUCUGAUGCUGGGUCAGCAGCCCCAGAGACUGCCACUAUCUCGCCAGAGGACAGGGUAUAUAAAGCAUCAAGAGACCUUCCUUCCUUCUUUUUAUGGGUUUUGUUCGUUGCCCUUUGUUUCUCCAGUUGUGAAGGGAAUGGUGCAGGGUGGCAUAAAGUCCAGAGACUGAAACAAAAUGGCAUCAGUGGGAAUAACGUGUUCGUCAUAUAAUAGAAGAUGCUCAAUAAACUGCAAUUAAAGAAAA